rfam:Pseudogymnoascus pannorum VKM F-3808 contig_1364, whole genome shotgun sequence.
UUAGCUCUCUUUGCCUAUUGGCUUAGAUCAAGUGUAGUAUCUGUUCUUUUCAGUUUAAUCUCUGAAAUUGUCCUAAUUGGACAAAUCAAUGAUUAAAUCUAUUUUUGAAAGCAGUCUUGGAGCCGCUGGGUUUACUCAUGUUCCGAGGCACGGUGUCUCUGGUAUUACACUGCCUCCAGAUGACGCGACUACCG